UACAGAGGGUGCAAACGUUGUUCGGAUUUACUGGGCGUAAAGAGCGCGCAGGCGGUCGAGUAAGUCGAAUGUGAAAGCCCCCGGCUUAACUGGGGAGGGUCAUUCGAUACUGUUCGACUUGAAGGCAGGAGAGGGCAGCAGAAUUCCCGGUGUAGUGGUGAAAUGCGUAGAUAUCGGAGGAAUACCAGUGGCGAAGGCGGGCUGCCUGGCCGUCGUCUGACGCUGAGGCGAGGAAAGGCGGGGAGACAAGGCGGG
rnacentral:rRNA from 1 species